GAGCCGAAGCGAAAGCGAGUCUUAAUAGGGCGGUAAGUUGAAUGCUGUAGACCCGAAACCCGGCGAGCUAGCCAUGAGCAGGUUGAAGUUUGAGUAAAAUCAAAUGGAGGACCGAACUAGGGCCUGUUGAAAAAGGCUUGGAUGACUUGUGGCUAGGGGUGAAAUUCCAAUCGAGCUGGGAUAUAGCUGGUUCUCCCCGAAAUAACUUUAGGGCUAGCGUUAAACAAGAGUUUUAUGAAGGUAGAGCACUGAAUAGUAGAUGGUCCCACCUCGGGAUACUGACAUUAAUCAAACUCCGAAUGUCAUAAAACGCGUUUAGCAGUCAGACUGCGAGUGAUAAGGUCCGUGGUCAAAAGGAAAAGAGUCCAGACCGCCAAAUAAGGUCCCAAAAUAUAUGCUAAGUGGAGAAGGAUGUAGAGAUGCCUAAACAACUAGGAUGUUGGCUUAGAAGCAGCCAUCAUUUAAAGAGUGCGUAAUAGCUCACUAGUCGAGUGACUCCGCGCCGAAAAUGUACCGGGGCUAAGCAUAUUACCGAAUUUGCGGAUUCGAUACGAAAGUAUUGAGUGGUAGGGGAGCGUUCCAUAAUGGGAAGAAGCAAGAUCGAGAGGACUUGUGGACUAUAUGGAAGUGAGAAUGCCGGUGUGAGUAACGAAAAGACAGGUGAGAAUCCUGUCCGUCAAAAACCCAAGGUUUCCAGGGGAAGGGUCGUCCGCCCUGGGUAAGUCUGGGCCUAAGGUGAGGCCGAGAGGCGUAGCUGAUGGAUAUCUGGUGUAUAUUCCAGAACUAGUAUAAUGACUGAUGGAGUGACGAAGAAGGCUAGGAUCCGAUUCUUAGUGGAUUGAAUACGAGAUAUCAAGAGGGGAUGUAGGCAAAUCCGCAUCUAGAAAUCAAGAUAUGACAGGUAAAGGAUAACGAAGUCAAGCUUCCAAGAAAAGCUUCUAGGGUUAAUCAUUAUACUACCAGUACCGUAAACCGACACAGGUGGGUAGGAAGAGAAUUCUAAGACGCGCGAGAAAACCCUUGUUAAGGAACUCUGCAAGUUGGCCCCGUAAGUUCGCAAUAAGGGGAGCUCAUGUAAAAGUGAGCCACAGAAAAGAAGCCCAAGCAACUGUUUAACAAAAACACAGGUUUAUGCAAAACCGUAAGGUGAAGUAUAUGAGCUGACACCUGCCCGGUGCUGGAAGGUUAAAAGGAGAGGUUAGAGCAAUCGAAGCCUUGAAUUGAAGCCCCAGUAAACGGCGGCCGUAACUAUAACGGUCCUAAGGUAGCGAAAUUCCUUGUCAGGUAAGUUCUGACCCGCACGAAAGGUGUAAUGUCUUUGGGCACUGUCUCAACAGGGGACUCGGUGAAAUCAAACUGCCGGUGAAAAUGCCGGCUACCCGCGAUUAGACGGAAAGACCCCAUGGAGCUUUACUGUAGGUUGAUAUUGAUAUUUGGUAUGUAAUGUACAGGAUAGGUGGGAGACUAUGAAGCUAGGACGUUAGUCUUGGUGGAGUCGACGUUGGGAUACCACCCUUUGCCUAUCUGAGUUCUAACUAGUGUAAGUGGAUUACAAAGGACAGUGUCAGUUGGGCAGUUUGACUGGGGCGGUCGCCUCCUAAAGAGUAACGGAGGCGCUCGAAGGUUCCCUCAGAAUGGUUGGAAAUCAUUCGCAGAGUGUAAACGCAGAAGGGAGCUUGACUGCAAGACAAACAAGUCGAGCAGGGACGAAAGUCGGAGUUAGUGAUCUUACGGUACCGCGUGGAAGGGCCGUGA
rnacentral:rRNA from 1 species